rnacentral:rRNA from 1 species
UACAGAGGGUGCGAGCGUUAAUCGGAAUUACUGGGCGUAAAGCGUGCGUAGACGGUUAUCUAAGUCGGAUGUGAAAGCCCCGGGCUCAACCUGGGAAUUGCAUUCGAGACUGAAUAGCUAGGGUACGGUAGAGGGGGAUGGAAUUCCGCGUGUAGCGGUGAAAUGCGUAGAUAUCUGGAGGAACACCGGUGGCGAAGGCGGCAUCCUGGACCAAUAUUGACGCUGAGGAGCGAAAGCCAGGGGAGCAAACGGG